UGGGCGGAGCCCGGCACCCGUUCCCAACGGGUGGCCGGGUGACACGCUUAUAUAGGAUUUGUACUGCUGCACUGAGGAGUGCAGCCCAAUCAGAUUGCAGUAUUGCAAGUGGUUGGUUAACACCCACUUAGCUAGGUGGGUGUGCAGCUGGGCGGAGCUGCCUUGAGCAAAAUGGAGAAAGUUACACAAGUUGUCACAGCUACAGAAGCUGCUAACCAGCUUGGAAGUAGUCACUUCUUUUCUGAGAGACAGAGAUGUCUUUGCUGUAUUGCCUACUGGAUUUGGAAAGAGCCUUUGCUAUGCUUGUUUGCCUGCAGCAUUUGACAAAAUAUUGGAGAAGGAGAAAGGUCAUUCUAUUGUAGUAGUAGUAGUAGUUACUCCAGUCCUCUGCUGGCCAUCAUUCAUGAUCAGGUAUGUAAGGCUAGAUAGAACAUACAUAUAAUUAUACGUACAUGUGCAUAUGAGCUGUUUACACAUAACUAGAUCAUUCUAAGCUGGAUGCUUUUAUUCUAUUAUUAUAUAGGUAGCCAUCUAUUGUUCUAAAGGCAUCUCUAGCACAUAUGUCUCGGGCGAGAUGUCUGAUGCAGCUACAAUGGAUGCGAUCUUCCACGGAAAGUAUCAGCUAGUAUUCUUUACACCUGAAAUGAUCAUCAGCAAGAAGCAUUGGAGAAGACUUCUGGGGGGAGAUGUGUAUGCUAAUAGACUCAAGGCUUUGAUAAUCGAUGAAGCUCAUUGUGUGAAGAAAUGGGGUGAGACUUUCAGGCAAAUGCUGUUGAGAAUUAGAGAAGUGCGCAGCCUCAUUCCAACAUCAGUUCAUGUGAUGGCGCUAACAGCAACAGCUACCCGAAGUGACAUUUCAUUCAUUUCUCGUAUUGUUGGCCUAAGAAACCCAUUUGUCAUUACGAGAGUCCCAGUAAUCCCAAAUUUGAUUUAUGCUGUUGGAUUGUUCAAAAGUAUACCAGAGACAUUCCAAAACUUGGCCCAGAAAUUGGUAAUCGAGAGAAACAAGUUUCCCACAACAAUCAUAUAUGGACGUUCUUUUGGUGUGUGGUGACAUGUACCUCUUCUUUAAGGAUUACCUUGGAGCUGCAUUCACAAAUCCUGAUGAUGCACCUGAUCUUCCUGAAUUUCGCCUCGUGGACAUGUUUACAAGUGUCACUGAUCCAGCCCAUAAAUCUGAAGUCAUUCGUUUAUUUAAGGGUGAUGGCAAUCUUCGCAUUGUUGUAGCUACUAUGGAAUUUGGUAUGGGUGUUGAUUGUCCCAACAUUCGGUAAAUCAUUCAUGUUGGCCUGUCAGACGAUAUCAGUAGCUAUGUACAAGAGACUGGUAGAGCAGGUCGAGAUGGUAAACCAUCACGUGUAACCCUUUUGAAGGCAAGAAUUUACCAUCAAGUUGAUAAUGAGAUUAAAGAAUAUGCUUCAAACUUCAACACUACAGAUUGUAGAAGGGAUAGUCUUUUCCGAAAUAUUGACAAUUACAAACAUGUUGAUCUCGGUUUCAAUUGCUUGUGCUUGUUCUAAGUCAUGUUUAUGUGGACAGUGUGACCUAAGACUUAGUUACUUCUUUCAGCUAAUUACAAAUUUUAUUUUCAUUAUUACCUGUGCUUCAAGAAAGCUGCUAUAUCUACCGAAACAUUUCCUGCACAUUUUGGGCAAUCUGUUUUUAUCACUGCCAUUUACAA